rnacentral:rRNA from 1 species
UACGUAGGGAGCGAGCGUUGUCCGGAUUUAUUGGGCGUAAAGAGCGCGUAGGCGGCUCGGUAAGCCGGAUGUGAAACCUCCAAGCUCAACUUGGAGCGGCCAUUCGAAACUGCUGUGGCUAGAGUCUGGUAGGGGAACACGGAAUUCCUGGUGUAGCGGUGAAAUGCUUAGAUAUCAGGAGGAACACCAGUGGCGAAGGCGGUGUUCUGGGCCAGUACG